CCGUGAGCAACCUGCCCCUGACUCUGGGAUAAGCGCUGGAAACGGCGUCUAAUACUGGAUACGAGUAGCGACCGCAUGGUCAGUUACUGGAAAGAUUUAUUGGUUGGGGAUGGGCUCGCGGCCUAUCAGCUUGUUGGUGAGGUAAUGGCUCACCAAGGCGUCGACGGGUAGCCGGCCUGAGAGGGUGACCGGCCACACUGGGACUGAGACACGGCCCAGACUCCUACGGGAGGCAGCAGUGGGGAAUAUUGCACAAUGGGCGCAAGCCUGAUGCAGCAACGCCGCGUGAGGGAUGACGGCCUUCGGGUUGUAAACCUCUUUUAGCAGGGAAGAAGCGAAAGUGACGGUACCUGCAGAAAAAGCGCCGGCUAACUACGUGCCAGCCGCCGCGGUAAUAMAA
rnacentral:rRNA from 1 species